rnacentral:miRNA from 1 species
UUUCUCUUAUCGUUAUCUGU